rnacentral:SRP_RNA from 1 species
CCGUGCUGAAACGGGGAGGUAGCGGUUCCUUGUCACCUGCAAUCCGCUAUAGCAGGGUUGAUGCUUUACCUGAGGGACGGUCAUGUGGAGCCUGGGGUAUGGAACUUGUGAUGAAGAUCGCAGCACCUUUGCAACAAAGACGCUCUUGAACGGGUCAGGUCCGGAAGGAAGCAGCCAUAAGAGAGAUGUGCUCUGUGUGCAGAGGAGACGGGUCGGAGCAAGGGAAAUACAUUCCGUCUGGAUGAACGAUUUCGAAGGUAUAAGCGCACGG